AAUCAACGCUGGCGGCGUGCCUAACACAUGCAAGUCGAACGCGAAAGUCCCGCAAGGGAUAAGUAGAGUGGCAAACGGGUGAGUAACACGUGGGUGACCUGCCUUCGAGCGGGGGAUAACGUCCCGAAAGGGACGCUAAUACCGCAUGACAUCCUGCCUUUGAAGAGGUGGAGAUCAAAGCUGGGGAUCGCAAGACCUAGCACUCGAAGAGGGGCCCGCGCCUGAUAGCUAGUUGGUGGGGUAACGGCUCACCAAGGCGACGAUCAGUAGCCGGCCUGAGAGGGCGGACGGCCACACUGGGACUGAGACACGGCCCAGACUCCUACGGGAGGCAGCAGUGGGGAAUUGUUCGCAAUGGGCGCAAGCCUGACGACGCAACGCCGCGUGGAGGACG
rnacentral:rRNA from 1 species